AUUGAACGCUGGCGGCAGGCUUAACACAUGCAAGUCGAGCGGUUGCAGGCCGCUUGCUCCUGGCUUCAGCGGCGGACGGGUGUGUUAUGCCUGAGAAUCUCCCGUCUUGUGGGGUAUCUCCUCCGGAAACUGGCGAUAACACCACACGCGCCCUGGGUGAGAAAGGGGGGGCUCAUCGGACCUCACGCUUUCAGCUGCGCCUAUGUCGGAUUAGCUAGUUGGUGGGGUAAAGGCCCACCAAGGCAACGAUCCGUAGCUGGUCUGAGAGGACGAACAGCCACACUGGGACUGAGACACGGCCCAGACUCCUACGGGAGGCAGCAGUGGGGAAUGUUGGACAAUGGGCGAAAGCCUGAUCCAGCAAUGCCGCGUGUAGGAAGAAGGCCUUCGGGUUGUAAACCGCUUUUGUUCGGAACGAAACGGAUUUGGUUAAUACCCGGGGCUAAUGACGGUACCGAAAGAAUAAGCACCGGCUAACUACGUG
rnacentral:rRNA from 1 species